UACAGAGGGUGCAAGCGUUGUUCGGAAUUAUUGGGCGUAAAGCGCGCGUAGGCGGCUUUGCAAGUCAGAUGUGAAAUCCCUCGGCUUAACCGAGGAAGUGCGUUUGAAACUGCAGAGCUUGAGUGCUAAAGAGGAUGGCGGAAUUCCCGAAGUAGAGGUGAAAUUCGUAGAUAUCGGGAGGAACACCGGUGGCGAAGGCGGCCAUCUGGGUAGUCACUGACGCUGAGGCGCGAAAGCGUGGGUAUCAAACAGG
rnacentral:rRNA from 1 species